AAGCAUGCAAGUCGAGCGGUAAGAUGGAAGCUUGCUUCUAUCCUAGAGCGGCGGACUGGUGAGUAACGGCGUGGGUGACGACCCUUGUGACGGGGACAGCUCCUAGAAAUAGGAGAUAAUACCGGAUACGCUGAGUGUUGUCAGAGGACAUUCAGGAAAGGAACUUUGUCCGCACGAGGAGCGGCCCGCGUACUAUAGCUAGUUGGUGAGGUAACCGGCCCACCAAGGCAACGAUAGUUACCCGGCCUAAGAGGGUGAUCGGGCACAGUUGGACUGAGAUACCGGCCCAGACUCCUACGGGAGGCAGCAGCUAAGAAUAUUCCGCAAUGGACGAAAGUCUGACGGAGCGACGCCGCGUGGAUGAUGAAGGCCGGAAGGGUUUAGUAAAAUCCUUUUAUGACUGAGGAAUAAGCAGUGUGAGAGAAACGCAUUGUGGUGACUGUAGGUCAUGAAUAAGCAACGGCUAAUUACGUGCCAGCAGCCGC
rnacentral:rRNA from 1 species